rnacentral:rRNA from 1 species
GAAUAUUGGACAAUGGGGGGAACCCUGAUCCAGCCAUGCCGCGUGUGUGAAGAAGGCCUUUUGGUUGUAACGCACUUUAAGCGAGGAGGAGGCUACUCUAGUUCACACCUCGUGAUAGUGGCCGUUGCUGGCAGCACAAGAGCAGGCUACCUAUUUGCCAGCGCACGCGGUAAUACAGAGGGUGCAAGCGUUAAUCGGAUUUACUGGGAGUAAAGCGAGCGUAGGUGGACAAUUAAGUAAAAUGUGAAAUCACCGAGCUUAACUUGGGAAUUGAAUGCGAUACUGGUUGGCUAGAGUAUGGGAGAGGAUGGUAGGAGUCAAGGUGUAGCGGUGAAAUGCGUAGAGAUCUGGAGGAAUACCGAUGGCGAAGGCAGCCAUCUGGCCUAAUACUGACACUGGGGUGCGAAAGCAUGGGGAGCAAACA